UACGGGGGGAGCAAGCGUUGUUCGGAUUUACUGGGCGUAAAGGGCGCGUAGGCGGCCAGCACAAGUCAGUUGUGAAAUCUCCGGGCUUAACUCGGAAAGGUCAACUGAUACUGUGCGGCUAGAGUGCAGAAGGGGCAACUGGAAUUCUCGGUGUAGCGGUGAAAUGCGUAGAUAUCGAGAGGAACACCAGUGGCGAAGGCGGCUCACUGGCCCGGUACUGACGCUGAGGCGCGAAAGCGUGGGGAGCAAACAGG
rnacentral:rRNA from 1 species